CUUCUACCCGGGGGCUCCAGUGCAUCUGGCUUUAUCUCUGGGGUGCUUCCAUACAAAGGGGACAGAAGAGAUGAUGGAAGGCCUCAGUACUGCAGGAGGGGAGACGGAUGUCAUCUACAAUCACACAAUACAUGGGAGGUCACAGGCAUGCAGGUGGCAAAAGCCUUGGAACCCCUGUUUACUACUGCUCACCCUCACACCACGGCUGCAGUGGCUUUCCCCUUCACGUUUGCUCAUGAGGCUGAUGCAGGGCAGGUCUACAACAUCCAGAGCAGCCACAUUGCAAGUGCUCAGUAGCCACAUGUGGCUGGCACAUGUGGCCCAUGGCAACUGUGCUGGACAUGGGUCGCUAUAACGAGGUAACAUACAGCACUUAGAAGACGGCCUGACCCAGAAUAACACUAAUGUUCACAUGGCUGCGAGUCUCAGACCAAAAUCAAUAGCCGGUAUCUACUGAAACUGCAGCAAGGCG
rnacentral:lncRNA from 10 species